CACGUAGGGGGCAAGCGUUGUCCGGAUUUAUUGGGCGUAAAGAGCUCGUAGGCGGUUCGGUAAGUCAGGUGUGAAACCUCCAGCUCAACCUGGAGACGCCACCUGAUACUGCUGUGACUCGAGUCCGGUAGGGGAGCGUGGAAUUCCCGGUGUAGUGGUGAAAUGCGUAGAUAUCGGGAGGAACACCAGUGGCGAAGGCGACUACCUGGCCUGUUCUUGACGCUGAGGCGCGAAAGCUAGGGGAGCAAACGGGG
rnacentral:rRNA from 1 species